AAGUAGUAAAACUAAAAUAAACUUAAUUAUUUUGGCGGCAUUUAUCUAUUUAGAGGAACUUGUUCUUUAAUCGAUACUCCACGAUAAUUUUCACUUUAUUAUAAAGUUUAUAUACCGCCAUCCUCAAGGAUUAUUCUUCAUAAAUUUCCUUAAAAACAAAUAAAAAGUUAGGUCAAGGUGUAGCUAAAAACCAAGCAGAAAUGAGUUACUUUAAAAACUAUUUAAGGAUUAAAAUUUCAAAAUUCAAUAGAAAAAGAAUUUAUUAGUAAUAUUUAAAUAAUAAUUUUAUUUGAACUACUUAAUAAAUGUGC
rnacentral:rRNA from 1 species